rnacentral:misc_RNA from 1 species
GGGUGACAAAGUGCCUCAUCAACUGUAAUGCGCUUAUUGGGAUCAAAAACAAGCAUUUUUUCCAGCAGAUCAGCAGCCCCAGUAGACACAUUAGGAAACCUAACUGAGAAAUUCUUCUUUCUGUAUUGUGGAAGCUGUCUAACAUAUCUUCGGGCAUUAUCACUUCGGAGAAAACCAAGGCUAGCGUCAUCAGGUGAACCUAUUAACUCUGUAAUAAGCCUCAGCUGGUGAACAUAAUCUUUCCCGGGAAACAAAGGUUCUCUGGUCAUAAUCUCACCAAGGAUGCAACCAACAGACCAAAUAUCAAUUGCAGCCGUGUACUCAGAACAAU